CAAGACCUUGCGCUAAAGGAGCGGCCGAUGUCUGAUUAGCUAGUUGGUGGGGUAAAGGCUUACCAAGGCAACGAUCAGUAGUUGGUCUGAGAGGACGGCCAACCACACUGGGACUGAGACACGGCCCAGACUCCUACGGGAGGCAGCAGUGGGGAAUUUUGGACAGUGGGCGAAAGCCUGAUCCAGCCAUGCCGCGUGAGUGAAGAAGGCCUUCGGGUUGUAAAGCUCUUUUAGUCGGAAAGAAAGAGUUGCAAUGAAUAAUUGUGAUUUAUGACGGUACCGACAGAAAAAGCACCGGCUAACUACGUGCCAGCAGCCGCGGUAAUACGUAGGGUGCGAGCGUUAAUCGGAAUUACUGGGCGUAAAGGGUGCGCAGGCGGUCUUGCAAGUCAGAUGUGAAAGCCCCGGGCUUAACCUGGGAAUU
rnacentral:rRNA from 1 species